rnacentral:rRNA from 1 species
UAAUUAAAAAUUUAUUAUUUUUUUGUAUUGCAUAUAAUUAGAAGAAAAUUUUAAAUUUUAAAAAAUUUAAUUAUAAGGUGAGAGUUUAAUUUUUAUUAAAUGUUAAAAAUUUAAUAAUAUUUAAAUUAGAGUCUAAAUGUCGUCUUAUAAGAUAUAAGUUUUUUAAAAUCAGUUCGAAAUGUUUUUAUGUUUUUUAUUUAUUUUUAGUAAUGAUUUAAAUUUUUUUUUUUUAUUUUUUUAUAAAAAAAAUAUUUUUCUUUUCCUUUCUUUUUUUAUAUAGCUUAAAGAUCUUUAAGCUUUAAUAAUUUCUAAAUUAAUAAAAAAAGAUUAUUCAGUAAUAUUAAAAAAUUUAUUAUUUGAACUAAAUUUGAGGUCAUAUGUUUAUUAAAGACUUAGGCUUUAAAUUAAAGCUGUUUUCUGCUCGGUGUUUUUAUUAACAGCAGUCUUAGCGUGAGGACAUUAAAGUAGCAAAAUAAUUAGUGCUUUUAAUGGGUUCGAGUAUGAAUGAAUUAAUGGCUUUUAUUUUAAUUAAUUUAUUUUUGAAAUUUUUAUUCUUUUAAAAAUUAUAGAUUUUUACAAUACAAAGAUAAGUCUUUGGAAAUUAUUUAUUUUUUAUUUUUUCUAGGGUAGAUUUUUAAAUAAUUUUUUUUCCUUUUAAAAUUUUAAUUAAUUACUCCAGAGUUAACAGAAAAUCAUAUGUUUUUUAGAAUUUAUAAAAACAUAAGUUUUACAUCGAUGUUGUAUUACUCUUAACUUUGUUACAGAAGAUAAGGUCUUUUAGAUUGUUCAUCUUUUAAAGAGUACUUGAUAUUAGUUUAAUUCAUCGUGAGAUAGAAUUGUUUAUCUUGUUUGUAAAUUUUAAUUUUGGAUUUUAGUACGAAAGGAAUUAAUCUUAGACUUAAAGUUUUUAUAAUUUAUUU